rnacentral:rRNA from 1 species
CAGUCGCCACGGUAAUACGGAGGGUGCAAGCGUUAUCCGGAUUUAUUGGGUUUAAAGGGUCCGUAGGCGGACUUAUAAGUCAGUGGUGAAAGCCUGUCGCUUAACGAUAGAACUGCCAUUGAUACUGUAAGUCUUGAGUAUAUUUGAGGUAGCUGGAAUAAGUAGUGUAGCGGUGAAAUGCAUAGAUAUUACUUAGAACACCAAUUGCGAAGGCAGGUCACCAAGAUAUAACUGACGCUGAGGGACGAAAGCGUGGGUAGCGAACAGGAUUAGAUACCCCUGUAGUCCCUGUCUCUUAUAU